UGCCCUGGUGACGAGAGGCAGCAUCACGUGAUGACAUCAUCCAUUCAAAAUGGCCGCCGGGUGAAAGUUGCAGAGAUUGGGUAACAGCAAUGGGAAGGUUGGAAUGAUGGCAAGACGAAGCAUGAAGACCUUGCAAGAAACACAUCACUAUCCCUAAGUCCCCCAGUGCCUGAGCAUGAUGUAGACUUGGCAGGAAACAUUG